GAGAACUGAUGGCGAGGAAGAAUGGUUCCUCAGUGGGGGUGGUGAAUGAAAUUGAAGUCUAGGGGAGGUGAAUCAACAUCCGACGGGUGAGGUUCCUCCACUUGAUCCUCAUCAGUGAGAAAGAGCAGAAGUUGUGGAGAUGUGGAACAUCGAUGGCACUUUUGAUAUUUUUCAUCACAGUUGAAGUACAAAUUGAGAUCUCGUUUGCGUUGCAAUUCCACCGGAAAAAAUUUCUUGAAUGAAACACGGCUAAUACUAGGAAGUGAAGCUGCCUGAGCGAAUGAAGAAGGGGUGAAAAGAUGGGGUCGAUUUGUGUUGCGAUGUUUGGGAAGUUGGAAAAGAGAGAGAAAUAUUUUUAGUGAUAGAAAUGGAUCGAUUUGAUGUUUUAACUUGGGCCAACAAUUUUUGCUCUUGCAAUAUGGCCAACCUAAUAGCCUCGUGAAUG
rnacentral:lncRNA from 1 species